GACGAACGCUGGCGGCGUGCCUAAUACAUGCAAGUCGAGCGGAAUGAUGAAGAAGCUUGCUUCUUCUGAUUUUAGCGGCGGACGGGUGAGUAACACGUGGGCAACCUACCUUGUAGAUUGGGAUAACUCCGGGAAACCGGGGCUAAUACCGAAUAAUCCAUUUCGCUUCAUGGCGAGAUGUUGAAAGACGGUUUCGGCUGUCACUACAAGAUGGGCCCGCGGCGCAUUAGCUAGUUGGUAGGGUAAUGGCCUACCAAGGCGACGAUGCGUAGCCGACCUGAGAGGGUGAUCGGCCACACUGGGACUGAGACACGGCCCAGACUCCUACGGGAGGCAGCAGUAGGGAAUCUUCCACAAUGGACGAAAGUCUGAUGGAGCAACGCCGCGUGAGUGAAGAAGGUUUUCGGAUCGUAAAACUCUGUUGUAAGGGAAGAACACGUACGAGAGUAACUGCUCGUACCUUGACGGGUACCUUAUUAGAAAGCCACGGCUAACUACGUG
rnacentral:rRNA from 1 species